rnacentral:rRNA from 1 species
AGAGUUUGAUCCUGGCUCAGGACGAACGCUGGCGGCGCGCCUAAUGCAUGCAAGUCGAACGAACGAACCCUCUUCGGAGGAUUAGUUAGUGGCAGACGGCUGAGUAACGCGUAAGUAACCUACCCACUGGCGGGGGACAACCCGGAGAAAUUCGAGCUAAUACCGCAUAUGAUUGUCUGCUGAUGGCAGAUAAUUAAAGGCUUCGGCCACCAGUGGAUGGACUUGCGUCCCAUCAGGUAGUUGGUGAGGUAACGGCUCACCAAGCCUACGACGGGUAGCCGGUGUGAGAGCACGACCGGCCAGAGGGGGACUGAGACACGGCCCCCACUCCUACGGGAGGCAGCAGCAGGGAAUCUUGCGCAAUGGGCGAAAGCCUGACGCAGCGACGCCGCGUGGGGGAAGAAGGUUUGAGGAUUGUAAACCCCUUUUCUCGAGGAAGAAGAUCUGACGGUACUCGAGGAAUAAGCCUCGGCUAACUACGUGCCAGCAGCCGCGGUAAUACGUAGGAGGCGAGCGUUGUCCGGAUUCAUUGGGCGUAAAGGGAGAGCAGGUGGCUGAGUUCGUCCGUGGUGCAAGCUCCAGGCUUAACUUGGAGAGGUCUACGGAUACUGCUCGGCUUGAGGACGGUAGAGGAGCACGGAAUUCCUGGUGUAGUGGUGAAAUGCGUAGAUAUCAGGAGGAACACCGGUGGCGAAAGCGGUGCUCUGGGCCGUUCCUGACACUCAGGCUCGAAAGCGUGGGGAGCAAACCGGAUUAGAUACCCGGGUAGUCCACGCCAUAAACGAUGAGUGCUGGGUAUGGGGGGUAUCGACCCCCUCCGUGCCGAAGCUCACGCGUUAAGCACUCCGCCUGGGAACUACGGCCGCAAGGCUAAAACUCAAAGGAAU